GAACUCAUCAAAAACACCUUGUGUAAUGAAAACCCCGGAUAUAUAAUCUGUCCCUAUAUAUUCUGCAUGCAUUGAGGUAGCCUCAACCCCCCCAGGGACCUGGUGCAGACGUGGAACCUGUUUCACACAACUGCUACUUGAAGGGAAAAAAGAAGCCAAUGAUACCAAGAAAAGCUCAUAACAGAGAUCUAUUCACCAGAUGUGUAUGGAUGAAAAUACAGUGAGAUGAGUCAGAAAGUGGUUAAGGAGGGCCCCAGACUCUCCAAGAACCAGAAGUUCUCGGAGCACUUCAGCAUACAUUGCUGCCCGCCGUUCACCUUCCUCAACUCCAAACGCGAGAUUGUGGACCGCAAGUAUAGCAUCUGUAAAAGUGGCUGCUUCUACCAGAAGAAAGAGGAGGACUGGAUCUGCUGUGCCUGCCAGAAGACCAGAACCAGCCGCCGCGCAACGUCCCCUCAGAGGCCCAAGCGCCAGCCAGCUGCACCCCCCGCGGUGGUCAGAGCACCAGCCAAGCCACGGUCCCCUCCGAGGUCCGAACGUCAGCCACGCCCCCGCCCAGAAGUCCGACCUCCACCAGCCAAGCAGCGUUCCCCUCAGAAGUCCAAGCAGCAGCCGCGCAGCAGCCCCCAGAAAGGGCCAGGCACCAGCCGUGGGGGGUCCCCCAACAAAGCCUCUAGGUUCUGGUAACACCACCUCUUCCCUUUUGCUCCCCAGCCCUAAGAUUGAAAAAGAGGACCAAGCCGACCCCUCGGAAGAAGUGAUGGAGGAGUUUCAAGUGAAUGGACGGCCUCAGCUCCCGGACUCACUGCUUCUCAACCCACGUGCCCUGGGACAGGUUAUCUGGCUUUGAAUAUGAUGCAGGGGCACACACCUGCUGAUGCAGCCACAGCCGAUGCCCAUAGUCCCAAUGGCGCGGGGGCCACCGGGCAGCCUGCCUGGAGCAUUUUGAAGAUAUUGUCCUAUUGUCUCCUGACCUCUGUAAUUGCCAAUGAGAAAUGCGUUGUCAGUCUGCUGGUCCUUCCAUUGACUCAAGUUUCUUCAACCUGAAGAUAUGUGUCUUUCUUCAGGGAUGUGCAGAAAAAAGAUAUUGUUGUACAACCACUAUAAUGGCAAAAAUUAAAAAUUAUCAAGUUUUGGCAAAGAUGUGGGAAAAAUUCUCAUAAGCUACUUAUGAGAAUUUAUAAACUAUUACAACAUUUCUGGGCUGCAAUCUCGGGGUACUAGCAAAACAAGAUAUAUCCAAGAAAUAUAAUCCAAGAAAUAUCUAUCGUCUUGGAAAUCAAAAAGAAGAUAUGAAAUAAUUCCUGGUUUGAAGAAAGAACAGAAUUAAAAGCUAUAUGGAAAUGGUCAACAGUAUUAGCCAGACACAAACAUGCUUGGGGAGGUAAGGGAGACUACUGAUUAACCUGGGGUCUCUCCAAGGUUACAAGUCUUAGAAAACAAAGAUACUUGUUCAGAGUCAAUUUUUUAUCUGGGUUGUACUGUGGUUUCUGCUCGUUUCUGACAUGGCAAAAGGGGGAAGAGUUAGAAUGUACCCCUCCCUCUCUCCCAACUUUCCUUUGGUAACAGGUAAGAAAGCACAGUAGAAGAUAAUGGAACGUAGUAGAAUGUGGAGGGAUGUAAAAUGGACAGUAUUAGGUGGAGGGAAACUCAGAGCACAGGAGAGCGAGGGCAUCGGGGCCGGCAUUCUGCUGGGAGCUGGGGCGGCCAAGCACAGGCAGAUGCCUGAAGCACCAACCAGGCCAUGGAUCUGUGUCCUUGAGAGAGCACAGCCAGACCUAGCCAAGCUUAAAGGGCAAGUGAGAAUCUGGGGGCAAUGCCAGGGGAAGUCCUGCUCGAGGUGUGGGGCUGGGUGAGAGGGAGUGCCAGAAGUAGGGAGGAAGCGUGCUAGACUCAGAUGGGCUGUAGCUCAGAACGCCAUACUCCCGGAAAGAGGAAGCAGGACGAGUACUGUCCCAAGGCAGCUGGAGGGACAGAGUGUCCUGGCUUCCUCACUUGGGGAGGCCACUUCUCUGUAGAAGUGGCAAUAACAAGGCAGGGAAUCAAACUACACAGAGCCUUCAAGUAGAAAUGUUUCCUGCCUAAAUUCAGGUGCUAAAUGAACAACAAAAAGAGAACCUCUACCAUGAACAGUUUCCAACGAUUAGAUACCUGAGGCCAUUACAUUCCUGGGAAUAACACCAGGGGUGCCAUGACAGACCACCUGAAAGAACAAAUUAGUGGGCCAGCCCCACUCAGACCCAAUGAGGAAACUUCACAUCCCUUUAGCUCGUUUUAGAUUUUGGUAAAGCCAGACCCCAUGCUCCAAGUUUGCUGGGUUCUAUCCUCCAUAUCACCCAGAUAAUACACAGUUACUACAGAAUGUGACAUCGAGGAGAGAGCAUGGUGUGUAUUAAUUCAUGUAAAAAAUUGGAUAUCAGCACAGAAAUGUUAAUAACUAGAAAUUACUGAAUUCUCUAUGUUGUCUGUUGUGGAAAUAAAGGCCUCUGGGGAAUGGAUCAAAAAUAUCUGGAAAUUACUUGAAACUGGUGAAUAACUAAAUGGAAUUAUAACUAAAAUGUACUAUAACCCAAUUGUACUUUUUGUCUUUCAAGGGUUGGCUCCGGGGAGCACUACGCAGUGAAUAUUACAAAAAUUACAUAAAGCUCCAAAAGCUACUCUAUGUAAAUUUCUUGAGUGGGAAUUCUCAACCAUAAUGUUUGGCAUAUUAUUCUGAUAAUUCUAUAUCAGAAUAUAGAAUUGUAUAGUAUAUCAAUUGAUUUUUUGUUCUGACAUUUUGACCGGUUUUGGUAAAACUGAGGUGUGUACCCAGAGUUGUCCUGAUAUAUGCUUAAAAACCAGCCCUCUGGGUGGAAAGUCCUGGUUGAUAGUGUUUGCCUAUUUCCAUGGUGUAAAUACUUCCAUUAUGGCUGAUUGUAAGCUACAAACGUGAUAUCACUGAGUGCAGAAUUGGGAAGAGAUGUGCAAAGUUGACCCUUGUGAGUCAGUACAGGACACUGUAUAUACCUAUGGGCCUGUAUGAAACUACAAUUUUUUACUAAAAAUGUUGCCCUGUAAAUAUAUGAAGGCACUAAUGAAAGAAAAAAUAUAAAGAGAAAAUAAAUUCCAAUUGGGAGCUCAAAUGGAAAAAAUUGACAGAGGAUUUUUUAAACUUUGUAUUCUACAUUUUAUUAUUAUCUUUUAUUAAGCAAACAAGCCAUCUAUGUGUCACCCUGAGUGUUCCAAAAUCUUAGUUUCUUUGGUGUUCCCCUAGAUGGAGGCUAGGGUUUCUCUCCUUUCAGAUACUGGUGCUAAGACGAUGCUGACCAAAGAAUUGAUGGGACCUGCUCACCGUGAAGCUAGUUUCAGGAUGGCUGAGCUGAGGGUGGAGACAGAAGAAAAGAUGUGGAGGCUUCUGAAUUUGGGGAGGCAACACUGAUAUUCAGACUUCUGGUUUGGUAUGAUAAUAUAUUGCUUUUAAGAAAUUAAUACUCAUGGAAACAAGAAAAAUCAGUUGUUUAAAAAUUGAAAAAAAAAAAAGAACGGAUUGAUAACCUCUUCUGUUAGAGCAAGCCAAGAAGAACUUAUUAAAAUUGAGAUGAAUUGGAAAUACCAAUGUUUUUAAAUGACAUGUUUUUAAAGAGGCUUUAUCUGUUCCGUCCCUACAGUGAUUUAUGCCGUUGGAUAUUUUUGCUGCCAUCUGCCAAAUUCCAGUUGGAAUGUGGGACAAGCUUAUUUGUGGAACUAGUGCUUGUGGGUUCUAAAACUAUUCUCCAAUGAAAGGAACAAAUGCCCUUGGAGGAUAGUUGACUCCAUAUUUCUGGGCAGGGAAAAAAAAAAUCAGGAUUAGUUUGUAGAUUCUAGAUGUUGAAAGAAAACAAGGUUGCAUUAAGGUAUCAGAGAGUCAUAAAUCCAUAAUGAUGCAAAAGGGAAGAUAAAACAGAAUUGCCUGAAAAACACACUCUCUGAAAUUGUUUACGGAAAAGGCUGUGUAUCAAUUAAUAAAAAUUAUGUGAAGCCUACACUUAA